AAAUCGGAUGGGUUGCGUCAGAGGUUUCGGCAGCAGUUGGAUGUUGCGGCGCUGUGACACGUCCAGCAGGUUGUUUUUAGUAAUAUGUGGCGCAGAGCAGAUAUUUCUCAAAAUGAUCCCCGUCAGAGUAGAAAGUGCCUGCAGAAUGGUUUGAUUUGAAAGGUGCAUUCAACGCCACAGUGGCCUUGUUUCAGAGGUGGACUGGGGAAGAGGAAUAUCAGAUGCAUCAAAGUGAAAGAAUCAAGGCACUGUUCCUGG